AGAAAUCUUAAUUAUAACGAAGUACGAUACAAACUCAUAUCAUUUGUAUUUCUUUCUCUGACAGACACAUCCAUCUGGAACAGUUACGAAAGCUCAGUGUUCGUGAGGAUUCGUGCACUCUGUGCUUUGACAAGCGCGCGUCUGUGCGAUUGUUGCCAUGUGAUCAUAAUGGGUUCUGUUCCUCGUGCGUGAUUCAACUGGCGGAGUGCCCAAUGUGUCGAGCAGACAUCCAGGAAUUUGUCCCGGACAAUACAUGACACUCAAAAAAUUAUCUGUUGAGCCGAGUGACUGAGACAGUUUUCCGAGGGGCUGUGAAACUAAAACUGUCAGCUGUAAUGGCGUAAUACUCUAGUGCGUCCAGAUACCGGUGCCAUCAUGUGGAAACAGAGUGUGACGUUACAGUUGAGGUCAGUCGCAAUCUGCGUGCCGCAGUAUCAGGGAAGAGUUCGCCGUACAACGUUGGUAUAAUGUUUUCACCCCCGCGGCAGAACGAACGGAACUGCGGAUGUGCAAGUUGGUAUAUUACACAAGGUGUUAAAAAAAUUGAUAACGUAAAAUAAUCUGAGUUGGCUUGGGUGAGAAAUGGAGGAGGAAGGUCCGAGAGUUACGUGAUAAAGAACGUGAUACAGCGAGAUCUUAAAAGAUUUAGAUCUGCAUUCAGAAUCUCUCAUUAUAACUUUUUUUUCUUAAAUGUUCGCGAUCAAAAAUUUAUGACGCUGCAUGGGAUUUAGUGGUUCUCGUCAUUGACGGUAGGUAGCUCUCGUAAUAUGGUAUUGACAUAGAGCAGUGUCACUGAAAUUUCUGUCUUUCAAUCUGUGGACGUGUUUCGUACGCGUAGUUGCAGAAUUCUCCUGUGUGGCCGCAUAAUUGGUCUGAUGAACUUGCAGGGUCUGAAUGCGUCAUCGCUUCUAAGAAAAGGAGUCCGUAAUAAAUUGUCUGUAAGUAACUUCGUCCGUGAGCAAAGUUCUCGAGAAGUUGGUCGUCAUAGCUGGUCGAGAAAUUAAAUGCGUUUUACAGAACCUGAAGUUUCGCUAACGUGCGCAGACGAGUCUGCCAGCAGACCUUGCCCUGAGCCAGAUGAAUCCGGUCCGCACCAUCACGUUCUGUUUCCUGAAGACCUGUUAUAUCCUCCAUUCCGAGUAAACUUCUUCACCUUUAUGUUUCCCAUCUUACGCAUCCUCAGUUUGAUCCUUGUAUACGAAUUCAAGUUAUGAAGCUCCUCGUUAUAAAUUUUUCUCCAUUUUCCUGUCACAUCCUCUCGUUUACGUCCAAAUGCAUCCUUAGUCUGUCUUUCAGGGUGAGAGACCAAAGUUUUACGCCCACGUAAACGAGACGAACAAAAUUAUAAUUUUGUAUUUCGUUUAAUUAUUUAGUUACUGGAUGAGGAAUGAUUUACAUUUCUGAUAUUAGUUAACUUAAAUUUCAUUAUUUAACUUUCUUUCCGUGAACGAAGUGUCAAAAAUAUAUUUUGUGGAUUAUUUUGCCAAUGGAUGUUACGUUUAAAAAGAACUUAGUACUUGUACUUAAAGGUGAUAAAAGUUAUAGAAUAAGCAUCGAGUGUAGCGUAAUAUUCAGAUCGCAAAAGCUUCCGAGGGACUGGCGCAGAGAUGGCGUACCGCGUUGAAUCCAGUAUUAACGCAGCUGGUGUAUAUCGUGCAGGGCGUUUCGAGCGUGCGGUGUAAAUUGCCGAACAGAUUACUUUGUCCUCUUUUUUUUUAAAUGUGCGCGUCCUACCUCUGUUCUCUGAUUUCUCACCCAGUGGUCAUAUAUUUAGUUAAAUUGUCCGUAUUCAGCAAAUUUAUGCUUCGCUUUUCAUGCUGUUUGUUUAUGCUUUGUACAUAACUUUUAUUUUAACUUAUUAAAAAAAAUCAUCCCUG